rnacentral:lncRNA from 1 species
ACCGGGCAGCUUGACUCCACGCCCACCUGACUGGACUCAGAAAACCGAAGAAGUUAGUGAGGGUACAGCAAUAAAUAGCAGGAGGAGCAGAAUUUGAAACAGUAGCAUGCCGGUCCUGCGCCCCGUGAAGGAUGACUCGCCAGAAAGCAAAGGCGCAGCCCUACCUCCGCGAGCUUGGCGCGUGGCCCAGGAGGCUCCGCGAGCCCUUGUACGUAAGGAUCGUGGCGCCCACGCUUGAGAGCAGAGCUCAGUGCAAACUUCCAACAGUUCUUCCAGUUUCCAGGGAAACAAGAUUUGGAGCUGCUGCGUGUUGCAGAGCUGCCUCUCUGCUCCCCACAUGGGACCCCUGUGGCUGGCUGGUCUUGGGGAGGAAGGAAUUAAAGCCACCUCAUCCAUGAAGGAGAAUCAGAGAGAUGAUUGAUUCUCCAUGCCUGGCCUCUUUUGUUCCAUGUAUGUUUGUGAAGUGUGUCCAUGAUGCUGUACACAGCGAUAGCUCACUCAUUGCUGAUAAUGAAGCCCAGCAGCUUACCCAUUUCACUGCAGUAAACAACAUAUUGCUUCUUGUUUGUGUGUCCUGAAUCACGGAGACAUGCAGUUGAGUAACCUGGGGGUGAAAUCGCCCUGUCUGAUUAAUACUAUCUUUACUUUUAUUUACCUGUUUCCCAUUGAGGUGAAAUUUAUGUACAAUAAGAACCAUUGAUUUUUUAACUGUACAAUUCCGUGAGUUUGGACGGUUGCCUACAUUUAUACAAACGACCACCUCUGGACUCACUGCUGUUCCAGCUUCUGCAAAUGCUAAGCUCAGCGUUUCCCCACACCAGGUCCGUGUGCUAUAGGUUUUAUUACAGCAUUUCCUAUGCAUGGUUGCAUGCAGUGGACAAUCUUUUCUGCCUGGUUUCAGUGCCUUUCAGAUUUGUCCAAACUCUUGCAUGAAUCGAUUGAAUGUACUUAUUGCUGAAUAGAAUUCUAGUAAAAAGUGUUUAUCCAUUCACGACAUGAUGGACAUUCCAGCUUUUUCUAUGGUGUGACUGAGCUACUAUUCAAACGUGGUAUCAUGCAGGCUUAAGUCAUUAUGAGUGUGUUUCCAACUCCUUAGGUCUCCAGUAGGAGUGGGAUUGCUGGCUUGCACCACACAGUUACAUUUAUCUUCCAAGAAAACAGAAGAUUGUUAACUAGAAUCAUUUUUCAUUCCCCCAUGUGUUCACUCCUGGGUUGUGUUCUUAGCAACACCGGGUGCUGUCAGCUUCCCUAGUGUGUUGGCCAGCCUGGCAUCCAUAUAUAGCUUCUCACUGUGGCUUUAGUUUGCAUUGUUCAGUUAUGAACACUAUCAACACUUUCACUUAUCUUCAGUAAAGCACGCACGCACACACACACACACACACCCUUGGUUAGCUUUUUAAAAAAUCAUGUGGUCUCUAUCUAAUUAUCAUUUUAUCAACAGUGAAUAGAAGCAUGACUACCUAAAAUUUGGCAUAAUACGUUGGCCCUAUGGAUUCUCCUGUAAUGGUCCAAGCACGAAUUAUACUUUAUACGCCUAAUCUCUUUAAAAAAAAAAAAAAAAAAAAAAAAAACAACUCAUCACUGUUCAGGCUGUAAGUUCAGCUAGACACCCAUAGCUUCUCCAGUGUGGGUCUAGAUUUGUGCCUCAGAAGGACUUCACAGUCUUGUAAUGUUCAUAGCUCCAGAGAGUCCUGCCAAAUAGGCAGCUGUCUUGGGAAAGACUUUUUUUUUUUUAAGUGUACAUGGGACAGCAUGACUCUAGUAAACAUCUGCAUUGUAGUGGUUCUGGGCAUCCUGUUGUGGGAUUUGGAGCUCAGAUGCUAGCUUACUUGAAACAGAUAGGCAGUCUGACUCAGAAGCGUUGUCUUAAAGGGGUCUUCGGAGGUUGAAGUCUUGGUGAAGCUGGCCAUGCCCAAGUAAAAAUAAAUGAUAUAAACCUACAAUUAAAUAUAUUAAAAUAUGGAUAAGAAAUACUUAAAGCAACAAUUUUCUAUCUUUACCAUACUUUUAUCUUAACUGUUUUCUGAAAUUGUAUCAAGUUAAAAAAUGUAUAUUCUGUCUCUCCCAACCCCUUGCUCAGUGGCUCUGGGUGAGGGCUUGUGAUUUGCAUAGCAGGAGAAUUUAUACCACAGAAACGAGCCAGCAAUGCAAAUCUGGCUGGAGCUGCUUAUGUAGCUUACUUAUAAAGUGAAGGGCAAUAUGAGCGAUGCAGAGUAUGGGUAGACGCCAGACUGUGGCUGUAGCCACCAUUUUAAAUUCCGAACACAUUUCUUCUUGUGUUUUAGGAGCCAUCACCUGUGCAGUAAUAGUAUGCACAUUGUACAUCUCUAAUGAAAGGCAUUUCAACAUGAUUCCCUCUUGUCCUCCCUGGAACUCAUCAACUUAUGUGAAAACAGCACACAACAUCCGAAUCAGAGCAGCACCCUCUUGUCAGCGAUGGGAGCAAGCAUUCUGCUGAGUCAGAUGUAAUCAGGGUUUAUUCAUGUCCUAAUUUUGCAAUACUGUUGUCAGUGAGAGUUAGAAAAACAGUGGAUUUUGCAAGAAAUAGCAAGUCACAUUGAAGUUAUAAAAUAAAAAGCAGAUAAGUGCUCUCGUUUAAAAUGUUAUUUCCAAACUUGUAUAAGAAAAUGCUAAUGAAAUAUUUUCAAUUUUCAAAAUUGCAUUUAUUUGCUCAUUGUGCUGUGCAUUCGCGUGUGGGAAUGCAAGUGUAGUGGGGAAGUUGUAGAGGUCAGAGGACAACUGAGAACACUUGAUUUUCUCCUUCCACCUUGUGGGUCCAAGGGACCAAAUUAGGUCAUCGGUGCCUUUACCUGCUGAGCCAUUUCACUGGCUCAUUAAAUUGCUAAUAAAAAAUUUAUGUUAGCUCAAGUAAUGGCAUGGAUUUAAUAAGGUUAUAGAACCAUUUUUCACAUUUUGAUCCACCAAAACAAUACUUUCUCACAUUAUUUUACAUGUGAAACAAGUGAAAACAAAUACAGGAAGGAUCGUAUGACCUCCGACCCGCGGCUGCUCAUUUUCUAAUGAUUUAGCAGACCACCAAGAUGCUCUGAGUGUCUGGGAAUAAUUAGCAGGGAAGACGCAGCUCCUGCUUCUUGAAACAGUUUUGCAGGAGAGAAAAACAUCCUUCAGGUAGCUAAGGAAGUGCCUUACUACAGGCUAAAGUCUAACACAACAAACACGGGCUUGUGAGAAGGGAUGCUGCCUUAAAUGGGGUCAAGCAGAUGCCUGCCGACAAGGCUGAGCCUUGACCCUCCUCCUCUGUCACCCAGCCUCCUAAAUGUAAGAAACAAACGACUGACUGAUAGCUCCCAAACUUAUGAUUCACUUCAAACCUUUGCCUGGAACCCCAGGUUAGAUUCCAGCCCCCUGUCUUCAUCAACAAUAUCAAGGCCUCAUUUUAGCGCAUUGAAAUUUUCUUUGUAUCUCAUCUUCAAACAAAGACAGGGUGCAUCCCAACCCCUGCACUCAGGUGACAGAAACUCAUUCUUGCAGCUGCUUUGCUAAACUUGUAGAGUUGUCCACACCAGGCCCUAGCCAAUAGCAGCCAGAUGGGACGCAACUGCUCUAGAGCCACUGGUACCUGUAUCUCCUCUCUAUGCCUAUUGUCAUCUUUCCAGUCCUCAGGGAACAGCCAACCUUUGAAGUGAGAGUCACUUACAGCAGCCGCUACUCAAAAAUGUUUUUGGUCUCCUUCGGAGUGAACAAAAGCAAUUUUGUGAGGUUUCUCCCUUAUCUCCCUUACUUCCUGGCUCACUUUGUCCCACUACCUAUGUUCAGGGUACCUGCAGGGACCUAAGCUUCCUGUCUUUUCUCAGAUCUGUUUUCUCAUAAAAAGUUGACUUAAAAAAAAAUGAGACAGGGUCUAUCAAUAGCCUGGAACUCACCAAGUAAACUUAACUAUUUAACCAUUGAGUCUCAGGGACACAAAGAUGGAGACCUGUUUGUUCAUUUAUUGAUCUCAGUGCCAAGAACAGCAUCUAGCACAGGGUAGAUGGUCGAUGAAUAUUUGUGUAGCUAGUUUUCAAAAUUUACUAGAUUAAAGUUUAAAGAAUGUAAACUA